rnacentral:rRNA from 1 species
UAGGGAAUAUUGGUAAUGUGCGAAAGCGCGAACCAGCAACGCCGCGUGCACGAUGAAGGCCUUCGGGUUGUAAAGUGCUUUUAGAGAGGAUGAGGAAGGACAGUACUUUCUGAAUAAGCCUCGGCUAACUACGUGCCAGCAGCCGCGGUAAAACGUAGGAGGCUAGCGUUAUCCGGAUUACUGGGCGUAAAGCGCGUGCAGGUGGUUUCGUAAGUUGGAUGUGAAAGCUCCUGGCUUAACUGGGAGAGGUCGUUCAAAACUGCGAGGCUUGAGAGUGGUAGAGGGAGGUGGAAUUCCGGGUGUAGUGGUGAAAUGCGUAGAUAUCCGGAGGAACACCAGUGGCGAAAGCGGCCUCCUGGACCAUUUCUGACACUCAGACGCGAAAGCUAAGGUAGCAAACG